rnacentral:rRNA from 1 species
AUUGAACGCUGGCGGCAUGCCUUACACAUGCAAGUCGAACGGCAGCACGGGAGCAAUCCUGGUGGCGAGUGGCGAACGGGUGAGUAAUAUAUCGGAACGUGCCCAGUCGUGGGGAUAACGUAGCGAAAGCUACGCUAAUACCGCAUACGAUCUAUGGAUGAAAGCGGGGGAUCGCAAGACCUCGCGCGAUUGGAGCGGCCGAUAUCAGAUUAGGUAGUUGGUGAGGUAAAGGCUCACCAAGCCGACGAUCUGUAGCUGGUCUGAGAGGACGACCAGCCACACUGGGACUGAGACACGGCCCAGACUCCUACGGGAGGCAGCAGUGGGGAAUUUUGGACAAUGGGCGGCAAAGCCCGUGAUCCAGCAAUGCCGCGUGCAGGAUGAAGG